UAAGUACUCCCUCCAUUCGGAAUUACUUAUCACGGAAAUGGAUGUAUCUAGAUGUAUUUUAGUUCUAGAUACAUCCAUUUUCGAGAUAAGUAAUUCCGAACGGAGGGAGUAACAA
rfam:Triticum aestivum genome assembly, contig: Triticum_aestivum_CS42_TGACv1_scaffold_288314_4AL